rnacentral:rRNA from 1 species
UACGUAGGGUGCGAGCGUUAUUCGGAAUGACUGGGCGUAAAGGGUGCGCAGGCGGUGCGUCAAGACGGAUGUGAAAGCCCCGGGCUUAACCUGGGAAAGGCAUCCGUGACUCGCGCACUAGAAUCUCGCAGAGGGAGGUAGAAUUCCACGUGUAGCAGUGAAAUGCGUAGAGAUGUGGAGGAAUACCAAUGGCGAAGGCAGCCUCCUGGGCGAAGAUUGACGCUCAAGCACGAAAGCGUGGGGAGCAAACAGG